rnacentral:misc_RNA from 1 species
GAUGAAGAACGUAGCGAAAUGCGAUACUUGGUGUGAAUUGCAGAAUCCCGUGAACCAUCGAGUCUUUGAACGCAAGUUGCGCCUCAAGCCAUUAGGUUGAGGGCACGUCUGCCUGGGCGUCACAUAUCGUUGCCUGAUGCCAGUUUCCUCGUGAUGGGUGACUGUGCAGGGCGAAUGAUGGCUUCCCGUGAGCAUUGUUGCCUCAUGGUUGGUUGAAAAUUGAGUCCUUGGUAGGGAGCGUCGUGAUAGAUGGUGGUUGAGUGACGAACGAGACCCAAUCAUGUGAGACCCCUACCGAAUUUGGCCUUCAUGACCCACAUGCGUCUUUGGAACGCUCAUGACGAGACCUCAGGUCAGGCGGGGCUACCCGCUGAGUUUAAGCAUAUCAAUAAGCGGAGGA